ACAUGGAGUGCACUCUGUGCUCCCCGUGCAGCUGCCAGCCUAGACAGUCACAGACCUGGAGUACACCAAAAACUGGGAAUGCUACUUUUGCCCACUCUACAGGAAUGUGUUCAUCACAUAGGAAGCAUGUGAUAAUUUCUUCAUCUUUCCUCAUAUCUUAUUAGAAGACAGCAUUGGUUUCUCACCAUCCAGCAUAGAGUAUGAAGAAAUCUCUGGCAGGAAGAUGUGGGGAAAGCAAGAGUUGAGAAGUGAUUUUUAGAGGCAGAACAUCAGCUGCUCCUGCUUUCUGAAGAUUCCCUCCUGCUCCACCCUGGCCACACACCAACCUCCCGCUCAUCAUGCACCAAAAUGUUCCAUUUCCUCAUUCAGCUCUUUCUUUAAGAGCUGCUUCUUUUGUGAAAGCUUCCUGCAUCGUUUUUCUCCCUGUUGGUGACUCCAGACCUUCUCACACUUGAACUAUUGUAUUGUAUUCAUUUGAGUCAGGUUGUCAGGUCCAUACCCCAAAGGCCUCCAGCCCCUCCUUCGCCCCUCAGCACACACACACAGCAAAAGGAAUUAUAAAAUCUUAA